rnacentral:lncRNA from 1 species
UAAUUUUCUCGGACCGUGCAUUUUUUUACGAGUCCGUGAAUAUUAUCCCCAUGCGCAAAAUCCUUCCCUAACCUUCUCUUUCUUCUCCUCUCUCUAAUUUCUUUUUUGUUAAACUAAAUUAGAUUUUUAAGAGAGAGGGAGAGUUAGCAGCAGUGCCCUUGGGCCUCAAUGUUCAGCCCAGAAGCCUGGGACCCUCUUCCUCGCGCCGGCCCAAGGCCAAGGCCCAGCUAGCCUCCGCUGCGUAACCCUAGCCCGAUCCCCCUCAGUCCUCUCCUUCCCUUCGUCCGCCUCCAGCGCCGCUCGCGCACGCAGCCAGUGCCAGGAGCCCGCGUCCCCUGCUCGAUCCCCUAUCUCCCUUCGCUCUCUCCCUCCCACAGUCCCACUGCUGCUCUAACAAACCACCGCAACCGCGCCUUGCUGCCGCUGCUCUUCUCGCGCGCCACCGUCCAGGCCUCCGUGCCCGCGCCCGGAUCUCCUCCUCCCAGCAUGUCCUUCGCGCCGGGAGCCCGAGCUCCGCUGGAUCCCCUCACCCUCGUCGUUCAACAUCCGGCGCCGCCCUGCUGCUUUGUCCAUGGCCUCCGCCACCCCUCGUGCCCCUGCCUCAUCCUCCGGCUGGGGUGCUCCAAGACGGCGCCCGCCGCGGCAGUUCGCAACGCCUUCGUCUCCGGCCAUUCCCAGCGCCCAGCCACGCCCCUACCAUCCCCGCGCCCUGCUGCCUGCUGGGGUGCUGCGCCGUUGCCCGUUCAUCUUCAACCGCGGGAGCGCAGUCCUCCUUCUACCCCGUCCAGAUCCGGCUGGCCUCCGCCGCCGUUGCCCGUUCCCGGCCGGAUCCAACUCCGGUGCCCCGUUCCCUUCGGUGUUGACCUCCACCAUCAGCGCCUGGCAGCACCUUCUCGGUCCGUGACUUGUGCUGCUGCUGCUGCUCGCCUUGCGCCCAUGAGCCCUGGCGCCCCUUUUGCUUUGUUGCACGCCCAUGGAUUCCUUGUCGCUCGUGCUGCACCUCCCCGAUGGCCACCAGUGCACCUCCACCUCGCCCUGCCGUUGUUGCCUCCAUACUGCUGCUCCGAACGUCAAGUACCAUGACUUCGCCUCUUGCUCGGCAAGUACCACACCGAACGGCAAGUACCAGGACGUCAGAGGACCCGCCAAGUUCAUCUCCGUGCGUGUACGACUACAUGUCCGGGAGGCGUCUAGAACCUCUCCGGACAAACGUGAAUGACUGCCAACGCAACAACAGGACAGGAGAGUCCGAAGACCCCAAGUACCACGACAACCCUGAAGGGAUUCGAGUUCGUCAAGUUCACCUUCGAAACGUGUACCACUACCAACGAAUGAGACCCUGGAUUCGACAAGUUCCUCACAGUGACCCUGAACAUCUUCGGGGCAUGCCUGACUUCGAACCGUGUACCAUGUCGAACAUGUACGACUACACGACGAACCGCCAAAACCCUGAACGACUACCGCCGCCGAAGUCCGCGAGUACAACUACUUCCACAACACGUCGUGUACGACUACCGUCGCUUGGGUUUUGACAAGACUGAGUACCACUACGUUUGCCAUGUACAACUACACCAAGUCCGGACCGACAAGUGCCUUGAGAACGUCUGUGCCUUUUCUGUCGCUGAGGACCGAAAGUACCACUAUGUCCCAUCGAACCUGAACCGUCUCGUUUGCAUGCUUCGAAGGUAUAACCCCGAGACGACGUCCGUGAACGAAUGCUUGCGAUGUUUGAGAUGCUUGUGUUUGCACCGUGUCCAAAUUGUCACUCGUUUCCUUGCCGCCAAACUCGUGGGACACCCGGAAUCCGGGAUCACCCCACCAUCUCUAGCAUGUUCCGAACAUCUGCUCCUGUCACUUUUCCUUUUGCACCGGUGUAUCCGUGAGCUAUCGGAACCGAGAUGUUGCCGUGGCAUCAUUUUCGGAUUCGUCGUCGUGGCCUUUUUUUUUCUUUCCACCACGGUGACAAAUGCUUCAUAAUACUCUUGUCAAAUUUUAAUAAAAAAACUUGCAUAAAACUUGCACAUGUCAUUCGCAUCAUGAUAAUAACAUUUAAAUGUUUAAAAUUGUUGUUGCACAAAAUUGAUAAUUGCAUAUGGGGAUUUACCGGAAUUGUUGUUUGUUGUUCCGGCCUCAUUUAAACUUGCUUAAAUGUGUAGUUUUCAUAUGCUUCACCUCUUGCCAUGCUUAAUAACAUUUAAUAUUCUUGGGUACCUAAACGAGAGAGAACUAAAUAAUUGAUGUGAUGUUCCGUUAAUAUGCAACUCGUUGCAUAUUGAGCUCCACUUAACUUGUAGUUUUGUUUGUGCCCUUUGCCAUGCCAUGCUUCAUUAAACCGGGCAUGCAUCAUACUUGUUUGCGCAUCGUGCCAUGCUUAUGUGAUGGUUGUUUACCCUGUUAUUUGCUUCUUUCCAGUGUUGCUUCUUCGGGUUGGUUUUUGAUAAUGUUGCGUUUGUGAGGAUUCGUUCGACUACGUCUGUUUAUCUUCUUCAUGGACUCGUUCUUCUUCCUUGCGGGAUUUCAGGCAAGAUGACCAUACCCUCGAAAUCACUUCUAUCUUUGCUUGCUAGUUGCUCGCUCUUUUGCUAUGCCUAUGCUAUGAUACCUACCACUUGCUUAUCAUGCCUCCCAUAUUGCCAUGACAAGCCCCUAACCCACCUUGUCCUAGCAAACCGUUGUUUAGCUAUGUUACCGCUUUGCUCAGCCCCUCUUAUACCAUUGUUAGUUGCAGGUGAAGAUUGGAGUUUGUUCCUUGUUGGAACAUGGAUAUUUUGUUGGGAUAUCACAAUAUCUCUUAUUUAAUUAAUGCAUCUAUACACUUGGUAAAGGGUGGAAGGCUCGGCCUUAUGCCUGGUGUUUUGUUCCACUCUUGCCGCCCUAGUUUCCGUCAUAUCGGUGUUAUGUUCCCGGAUUUUGCGUUCCUUACACGGUUGGGUUAUAAAUGGGAACCCAUUGACAAUUCGCCUUGAAUAAAACUCCUCAAGCAAGGCCCAACUUUAGUUUUACCAUUUGCCACCUAGCCUUUUCUUUCCCUUGGGUUCUGCAGACUCAAGGGUCAUCUUUAUUUUAACCCCCCCCCCCCGGCCAGUGCUUCUCUAAGUGUUGGUCCAACUGAGCGAUGUCCGGGGCUACUAGGGGCAACUCUGGGCUGGCCUACCCGACGUCUUGCUCAUCCGGUGUGCCCUGAGAACGAGAUAUGUGCAGCUCCUAUCGGGAUUUGUCGGCACAUCUGGGUGGCUUUGCUGGUCUUGUUUUACCAUUGUCGAAAUGUCUUGUAACCGGGAUUCUGAGUCUGAUCGGAUUGUCUUGGGAGACGGAAUAUCCUUCGUUGACCGCGAGAGCUUGUGUUGGGCUAAGUUGGGACACCCCUGCAGGGAUUGAACUUACGAAAGCCGUGCCCGCGGUUAUGGGCAUAUGGGAAUUUGUUAAUGUCCGUUUGUAGAAAACCUGAAGUUGAUCUUAAUUAAAAUACAUCAACCGUGUGUGUAACCGUGAUGGUCUCUUUCCGGCGUAGUCCGGGAAGUGAACACAGUGUUGGAGUUAUGCUUGACGUAGGUUGUUCUAGGAUCACUUCUUGAUCAUAGUUGUUCGACCGUGCUUUUGCCUUCUCUUGUCGCUCUCUUUUGCGAAUAUGUUAGCCACCAUAUAUGCUAGUCGCUUGCUGCAGCUCCACAUCAUACCUUUACCUUACCUAUAAGCUUAAAUAGUCUUGAUCGCGAGGGUGUGAGAUUGUUGAGUCCCCGUGACUCACAGAUUACUUCCAAAACCAGAUGCAGGAAAUGAUGAUACCGCUCCACAUGAUAUGACCGAGCUCAAGUGGGAGUUCGAUGAAGACUCUCGUCGUUACUACGUGUCUUUCCCAGAUGAUCAGUAGUGGUGCCCAGUUGGGGCGAUUGGGGACUUUGUCGCAUUUGGGGAUUGAUCUUUAUUUUGGUUCCGUAGUCGGACCUUGAGUGUAUUGGAUGAAUGUAUUGCUUUAUUCAUGUAUUGUGUGAAGUGGCAAUUGUAAGCCAACUAUGUAUCUCUUUCCCUUAUGUAUUACAUGGGUUGUGUGAAGAUUACCUCACUUGCGACAUUGCUUUCAAUGUGGUUAUGCCUCUAAGUCGUGCUUCGACACGUGGGAUAUAUAGCCGCAUCGAGGGUGUUACAAGUUGGUAAUCAGAGCCUUCCCCGACUUAGGAGCCCCCUGCUUGAUCGAAUCGCUGGCGUUGUUGAGUCUAGAAAAAUGUUUUGAGUCUUUUAGGAUUAUAUAUAUCAGAGAGUAGGAUUCUUUUUACUCCUCAGUCCCUUCGUCGCUCUGGUGAGGUAUCCUGGCGUAGAGUUUUGACUCUUCUCUUCUCAAAUUUCACGCGGGUAUCUUGGAAUCGUUCCGAUGGUUUUGUGACGAGAACAUUGUUCUUGGUGCCUCCUGACAUUUAGGGGUUGUGGCAGUGUCCCGGGGAGUUGAGCUCCGAGGUGUUGUCGUCACAAUUUUAUCAUUGCAAUUCUGGAAUACUGAGUUUUGCCGACAUCGAAAAUCUCUUUUAUGCAGUUGUUGGUGAGAUAACCUCGACGCCACCCUGUACUGGGGCGGGAGUUCGGGAGUAUUGCCAUAAGUCGUAUAACGGAUGCUUUUCGAAGGUUGAGGUAAACGAUUUCCGAUGGUUUCUUGGUUAUGUGUUGAAGGAUGGAUACAGCUGGAUGUAGGAUUUGCUAGUUUUGGGUGAGAUAUUAUGCUUCCCCUGUAUCCCCAACACCUGAUUGCAUAACCGAAAAGUUUCGGGAGUUUAUAAGUGGGAAUUCAAGUAGCUCCUAGGAUAUCUUUCCGAUAGAUGUAUGGUAUGAAAUUGGGGUUCGACAUCUAGUGGUCCGCCUAUUCAUGGUUGGUUUUACAGUGGUCUUGUUGUGUCUUAAAGAGUCCUUGGCUAUGCUGACUCGGGGACGCUUCGUAUGUCAUGUGCACUGUCUUGUACAUGGUGGUGCUGUACGAUCGAGCCCGUGUAGGCCCCACCACGAAAACUUCAGACGAAAUCUCUAUCAUAUGUUUGUUCCGGCUUAUUCUGCAAGCCAAUCCUUUGUUUUUGUUUUGAGUUGUGGUAUUCGAGUUGCUUCGAAGUCAAAUGUUGAUUCCAUACCUUUCCUAAGCGGUGUUCUCAUACUCCUAUGUGAAUACAAUCCUUCUUGAUCUUUGAGUUUGCCAUCUCAAUUUCUUUUCAACCGGUGUGCUUCUCUUCUAGUGGAUCCAAUCUUUUUCAACACCCGCAGGAUCAACUCAAGUCUUCUCAACGGUGUUUGUCUCAUCCGUCACAAGUUGCCUUUGUUUUCCCACCCUCCCACCCUUUUUCUUCGAGGACUCGGAUUUCUAAAUCAACUAUCCAUUUUAUUCAUGUGAAGCCUUCAUCCUUUUCUUUCAAGUUUUUGAUCCGGUGAUUUAUCAUGGAGAUUCUAAUGGAGCUUCAAGUUCAUCAUUCGUCAUUCUUUUUCUUCUCCUGUGGAUUCAAUUAAAGCUUUGUCGAUCAUAUCAUUUCCUCGGUUCAAUGCUUUCUCAUAUCGGUGCACCUCUUAAUCGCUCAUCUCUCUUUAUUCAUAUCCGAAGUGCUGAAGAUAUCUCUGAAGAUUCAAUUUUCCAUUCUCAAUUCGUUCAAACUAUCUCGAGGUUGUUAUCUUAUUCAAGCCAUUUAACUCAACUUGUGUAAUCUCUCUUCAAAUCUUUUCAACGGUGUUUCUUUUGAGUGGGCCCUAACCCACAGGUCUUUCUCCAGGAUCUUACCUGACUCUUAUAAUUUCCCCGGAGCUAUUCUCAGAUUUCUUUUCCAAGUUUGAUGUAAGCAUGAGUUAUCAUCAAUCAAAUGUAAUUCUCCAAGAUCUUUCAAAUUAUUUUCAUCGUUGGUUCAACCUUUCCAUUUUUCAUCCCGAAGUAUCAACAAUUCUCAGUGGUGGUUCUCAUCAUCAUUCUCAACAUUUGAAGACCGACGAAGAGCCUCUCUUCAAUCAUAUCCGUUUCGUGAAGAUUCACGGUUCUAGCCUUUUGCCAUACUCUCAUAAUUGUUUUCGAUUGUGAGAAUUCGUUUCACCCAUCCGAAGUAAUCCAGGAGUCUUUUUCAGUUUGAUUCUCCGGAGCCCAUCAUCUCAAAAUUAUUCAUUCUCAACUUUCAGCUCUCAUUAUCUAAAUCUCACCGGUGCAUUAUUCAAGUAUUAUCUAAUCAGCUCGUGAUCUCUUCGUUCACUUGUAUCUAAAUUCUCUCAAGUAUCCUCGUUCGUUUUCUAAUUCUUCCCGAUGUUUCUUUAUCUGUUCUUCGUUCAUUUUAAUUCUUACGGUGGCUAUUCAAGAUUCUUCUUCUUUCGUUUUCAUAUCAAUGUAUUCGUUGUUUCAAUCCUACCAGUGGUUCGUCGAAGACCUUCUCAAGUUUGUGCUAUAUCAAUCUUAACCCUUUCUACGAGAAUAAGUAGUAUGCCAAAUCUGUUGAUUGUCAUCAAUUUAAAUUAGUGAAGGAUAAGCAUAAUGUAAUUCUUAUUCUUGUUUCAUCGAGUAAAUUCAAUUCUUGCUUUCCGGAGGUCCAUCAUAAUUCUCAGUUUCUAUUGUUUCAUCUUUUCUUUUCCCGGAGUCCCAAGCUCUCAUCAUCACGAAGAUCAAUCUAAAUCAUUGCAAGGCUUCCAUCUUAUUCUUUGCAUCCUUCACUUCCUUUUGAUCAUUCUUUUAUUACCGGAGUUCUUCAUGGAGGCUCUACAUGAUGGUUCACCAAGGAUUUAAUUCCUUCUCGAAGUGCUCAUCAAGAUUCUUUCCAUAGGAGCUCAAGUAUUAUUCAUCUUGCAUACCGGAAUGCAGUUCUUCAAAUUUUAUCUUUUGAGGUGGUGUUAUGUCAUUCUUGAUAAUUUCCCUUCAUGUUCCAUGAUUCAAAAGUUGUCAGGGAUGAGAUAUUUAAACACAUCAAUCUCUUCAUUGGAGUUAUCUUGGGUCAUAUUUCACCCAAAGCCUUCCAUUGGGAAUGUUGCUCUUUGUGCUGAUUACCUAUGAUCCAAGUUUUAUCCUUAUCACCUCGGUGGAGGAAGCUUUCUAUUCUUUUCUAGCUCUCAAUCAAAUCUAUUGUGUCCGUUAGUGGCGGAAUUUCACCUCAUAGUUUUGAGAUGUUUUCCAUAAGCCCUCUACAAGCUUACUCUUUUUGUUGUUGGUUUUCCAACAACUACGUUCGACCCUUCUCCUAAAGAUGCUUUCAAGCUAAUUUGAGGUAGAAGAUGUUUUUUCCUUCUCCGUUCCUUUAAUUCCAUUCUUGUAUUUCUUCCGGAGGCAUUGUGAUGUUGCUCUCUUCACACUUCAUCUCGUAUUGUGAGGAUCAUGAUUUUUUCAUGCUUAUCCAUUUAACCGGAGUGUUGUGCCCCUUUGCUCAAGUCCUUUUUCAUCCUAUCAAGUCUUGCAUCUCUUUUCUACUGGAGUGCUUUCAACUUCGUUCAUCGUCGUUGCUUUCUUUCUUUCAAGUUGUUCAACUUUUCAAGGUUCUUUGGUUUCACUCGUUUGUCAAAGAAGCAACUUAGUUUUACCUCUUCUCUCCUCUUCCGUUUCCCUCCGGUGCCAUCCUAGAUCUCGGCACGAGAUCCUCUCGUAGUGGUGGAGUGUUGUUACGCCCCAAGACCGGAGCUUCAGAUGCCUUCCAGGGUUUCCGGGUUUCGUUGUGUGAUUUGUUUAGUCUGUUGCAUUCAUCUUUGCAUCGUGUGCAUUGCAUCAUGUCAUCAUGCCAUCAUGUCAUUUAUUUUCUUAACUCUCAACUAAAUAAAUUGCAUGGAUCUUCGGUCCAUUUAAACCGAGGGAAUUCACGUGGUGAUUCUCUUUAUAACAUAUCCUCCCAAUAUUUUAGGGAGCUAUAUUAAAUAUUCCAUUAUUUUGGAAUCAUCAUAACACACGUGCAAAAUAAUUCCCAUGUCUAUUCCUCUUCGAGUUUGACCUUCAAACCUUGCCUAUAUCUCGCAUCUCUUUUAUCGAGGCUCCUCCUAAAUUCUCAACAUUUAUGGACCUUCCUUUUACUGAGUCUUAGUUCAAACCUUUUGUUUAAAUUCAAAUGAGUUUGAAUUCUUAUCGUUCGAACUGGCCUUUUCUAAUUUUCUCGAACCGUGCAUUUUUUUACGAGUCCAUGAAUAUUAUCCCCAUGCGCAAAAUCCUUCCCUAACCUUCUCUUUCUUCUCCUCUCUCUAAUUUCUUUUUUGUUAAAGUAAAUUAGCUUUUUAAGAGAGAGGGAGAGUUAGCAGUAGUGCCCUUGGGCCUCAAUGUUCAGCCCAGAAGCCUGGGACUAUCUUCCUCGCGCCGGCCCAAGGCCAAGGCCCAGCUAGCCUCCGCUGCGUAACCCUAGCCCGAUCCCCCUCAGUCCUCUCCUUCCCUUCGUCCGCCUCCAGCGCCGCUCGCGCACGCAGCCAGUGCCAGGAGCCCGCGUCCCCUGCUCGAUCCCCUAUCUCCCUUCGCUCUCUCCCUCCCGCUGCUGCUCUGCCAAACCACCGCAACCGCGCCUUGCUGCCGCUGCUCUUCUCGUGCGCCACCGUCCAGGCCUCUAUGCCCGUGCCCGGAUCUCCUCCUCCCAGCCUGUCCUUCGCGCCGGGAGCCCGAGCUCCGCUGGAUCCCCUCACCCACGUCGUUCAACAUCCGGCGCCGCCCUGCUGCUUUGUCCAUGGCCUCCGCCACCCCUCGUGCCCCUGCCUCAUCCUCCGACUGGGGUGCUCCAAGACGGCGCCCGCCGCGGCAGUUCGCAACGCCUUCGUCUCCGGCCAUUCCCAGCGCCCGGCCACGCGCCUGCCGUCCCCACGCCCUGCUGCCUCCUGGGGUGCUGCGCCGUUGCCCGUUCGUCUUCAACCGCGGGAGCGUAGUCCUCCUUCUACCCCGUCCAGAUCCGGCUGGCCUCCGCCACCGUUGCCCAUUCCUGGCCGGAUCCAACUCCGGUGCCCCGUUCCCUUCGGUGUUGACCUCCACCAUCAGCGCCUGGUAGCACCUUCUCAGUCCGUGACUUGUGCUGCUGCUGCUGCUCGCCUUGCGCCCAUGAGCCCUGGCGCCCCUUUUGCUUUGUUGCACGCCCAUGGAUUCCUUGUCGCUCGUGAUGCACCUCCCUGAUGGCCACCAAUGCACCUCCACCUCGCCCUGCCGUUGUUGCCUCCAUACUGCUGCUCCGAACGUCAAGUACCAUGACUUCGCCUCUUGCUCGGCAAG